rnacentral:rRNA from 1 species
UUGGGAGCUCUCCCAUAUGGUCGACCUGCAGGCGGCCGCGAAUUCACUAGUGAUUCGUAUUACCGCGGCUGCUGGCACGUAGUUAGCCGGUGCUUAUUCUUCCAGUACCGUCAUCCCCACCCCGUAUUCAGGGAUGGGAUUUCUUCCCGGACAAAAGAGCUUUACAACCCGAAGGCCUUCUUCACUCACGCGGCAUUGCUGGAUCAGGGUUGCCCCCAUUGUCCAAAAUUCCCCACUGCUGCCUCCCGUAGGAGUCUGGGCCGUGUCUCAGUCCCAGUGUGGCUGGUCGUCCUCUCAGACCAGCUACUGAUCGUCGCCUUGGUAGGCCUUUACCCCACCAACUAGCUAAUCAGAUAUCGGCCGCUCCACGAGCAUGAGGUCUUGCGAUCCCCCACUUUCCCCCUCGGGGCGUAUGCGGUAUUAGCUAGUCUUUCGACUAGUUAUCCCCCACUCCAGGGCACGUUCCGAUAUGUUACUCACCCGUUCGCCACUCGCCGCCAGACCGAAGUCCGCGCUGCCGUUCGACUUGCAUGUGUAAGGCAUGCCGCCAGCGUUCAAUCUGAGCCAUGAUCAAACUCUAAUCGAAUUCCCGCGGCCGCCAUGGCGGCCGGGAGCAUGCGAC